GAUUAACGCUGGCGGCGUGCAUAACAAAUGCAAGUCGAACGAUGCAACUUUACUGACUUCUUCGGAAUGAUUUAAAGCGGAUUAGUGGCGAACGGGUGAGUAACGCGUGAGUAUCCUGCCUUACACAAGGGGAUAGCCUCUGGAAACGGCGAAUAAUACCCUAUGAAACAAGCCAAUCGCAUGAUAACCUUGCCAAAAUGUAUAGUGGGGUAAGAUGGUCUUGCGUCUGAUUAGUUAGUUGGUGAGAUAAAGGCUCACCAAGGCAAAGAUCAGUAGCUGGCUUGAGGGAAUGGUCGACCACCUUACGACUGGGACACGGCCCAGACUCCUACGGAAGGGAGCAGUGGGGAAUUUUGCACAAUGGGGGAAACCAUAAUGCAGCGGCGCCGCGUGAUUUAGAAGGCCUGCAGGUUGUAAAAAUCUUUUGUAUAGGAAGAAAAUGACAGUACUAAACGAAUAAGGUCCGGCUAAUUACGUG
rnacentral:rRNA from 1 species